CCCUCUUCCGAUUCGGUUUAGUUCUUACUUGCUUUUGUGAUUAUGUUUGAGUUUUGUGAGUUUAUACACGAUUCGGAUCUGUUUGUUACUGUUUGUGGCCGUUUGUGAUGUUUGGAUGAUGAUGAUUUAUGUGUUAGUGUGGAGCGAUUCGAGGUUUGGUGAAAGGAUACGAAAAUGAUUGUUAAAAGAAUGGUUCACAUGAUUUUCGAAUUUGAAAUGUUCAUGAAGUUCAUGAUUUUUU
rnacentral:lncRNA from 1 species